rnacentral:rRNA from 1 species
AUUGAACGCUGGCGGCAGGCUUAACACAUGCAAGUCGAGCGGGGUGAUGGUGCUUGCACUAUCACUUAGCGGCGGACGGGUGAGUAAUGCUUAGGAAUCUGCCUAUUAGUGGGGGACAACAUCUCGAAAGGGAUGCUAAUACCGCAUACGUCCUACGGGAGAAAGCAGGGGAUCACUUGUGACCUUGCGCUAAUAGAUGAGCCUAAGUCGGAUUAGCUAGUUGGUGGGGUAAAGGCCUACCAAGGCGACGAUCUGUAGCGGGUCUGAGAGGAUGAACCGCCACACUGGGACUGGGACAGGGCACAGACUCCAACGGGAGGCAGCAGUGGGGAAUAUUGGACAAUGGGGGGAACCCUGAUCCAGCCAUGCCGGGUGUGUGAAGAAGGCCUUAUGGUUGUAAAGCACUUUAAGCGAGGAGGAGGCUCUUUUGGUUAAUACCCAAGAUGAGUGGACGGUACUCGCAGAAUAAGCACCGGCUAACUCUGUGCCAGCCGCCGCCGUAA